rnacentral:rRNA from 1 species
UGUUACCAAAACAUGCUAUAUGAAGCUUUAUAUAGUCUAGCCUGCCCACUGAAAUAUAAUUAAAGGGCCGCGGUAUUUUGACUGUGCGAAGGUAGCAUAAUCAUUUGUCUUUUAAUUGAAGACUUGUAUGAAUGGUUGAACGAGAAAAUAACUGUCUCUUUAAAAAAUCUUGAACUUUACUUUUAAGUGAAAAGGCUUAAAUAAUUUUAAGGGACGAUAAGACCCUAUAAAUCUUUAUAUUAUUUUUCUUUAAAUUUCAAAUUAUACGUUAAAAGAAAUAAAAGAAAAAAAAUAUUAUAUUGGGGAGAUAAAAAUAUAAUUUUUAACUGUUUUAAAAAUAAAACAAUAAUUUUUGAUUAAAAAAAUUGAUCCUUUUUAAAGAUUUAAAGAUUAAGUUACUUUAGGGAUAACAGCGUAAUUUUUUUUGAGAGUUCUUAUCGAAAUAAAAGUUUGCGACCUCGAUGUUGAAUUAAAAUAUCCUUAUAAGUGCAGAAGCUAUAAAGGAAAGUCUGUUCGACUUUUAAAAUUUUACRUGAUCUGAGUUCARACCGGCGUGAGCCAGGUUGGUUCCUAUCUCUUAAUUAAUUGUAGGUUAUCUUAGUACGAAAGGAUUAGGUAACUGGAAUAUUUCUAAAUAUAGGGAAUAAUAUU